rnacentral:rRNA from 1 species
GAUGAACGCUGGCGGCGUGCCUAAUACAUGCAAGUCGAACGAAACUUCUUUAUCACCGAGUGCUUGCACUCACCGAUAAAGAGUUGAGUGGCGAACGGGUGAGUAACACGUGGGCAACCUGCCCAAAAGAGGGGGAUAACACUUGGAAACAGGUGCUAAUACCGCAUAACCAUAGUUACCGCAUGGUAACUAUGUAAAAGGUGGCUAUACUACCGCUUUUGGAUGGGCCCGCGGCGCAUUAGCUAGUUGGUAGGGUAAAGGCUUACCAAGGCAAUGAUGCGUAGCCGAAUUGAGAGGUUGAUCGGCCACAUUGGGACUGAGACACGGCCCAAACUCCUAUGGGAGGCAGCAGUAAGGAAUCUUCCACAAUGGGAGAAAGCCUGAUGGAGCAACGCCGCGUGGGUGAAGAAGGUCUUCGGAUCGUAAAACCCUGUUGUUAGAGAAGAAAGUGCGUGAGAGUAACUGUUCACGUUUCGACGGUAUCUAACCAGAAAGCCACGGCUAACUACGUG